rnacentral:rRNA from 1 species
AUGCACGCUGGCGGCGUGCCUAAUACAUGCCAGUCGAGCGAACAGACGAGGAGCUUGCUCCUCUGACGUUAGCGGCGGACGGGUGAGUAACACGUGGAUAACCUACCUAUAAGACUGGGAUAACUUCGGGAAACCGGAGCUAAUACCGGAUAAUAUAUUGAACCGCAUGGUUCAAUAGUGAAAGACGGUUUUGCUGUCACUUAUAGAUGGAUCCGCGCCGCAUUAGCUAGUUGGUAAGGUAACGGCUUACCAAGGCAACGAUGCGUAGCCGACCUGAGAGGGUGAUCGGCCACACUGGAACUGAGACACGGUCCAGACUCCUACGGGAGGCAGCAGUAGGGAAUCUUCCGCAAUGGGCGAAAGCUUGACGGAGCAACGCCGCGUGAGUGAUGAAGGUCUUCGGAUCGUAAAACUCUGUUAUUAGGGAAGAACAAAUGUGUAAGUAACUAUGCACGUCUUGACGGUACCUAAUCAGAAAGCCACGGCUAACUACG